GAGCGUACAGCUCAGUGGUAGAGUGCGUGCCUAGCAUGCACAAGGUCCCAGGUUCGGUCCCUGGUACCUACA
rfam:Camelus ferus unplaced genomic scaffold scaffold1050, whole genome shotgun sequence.